rnacentral:rRNA from 1 species
GACAAACGCUGGCGGCGUGCAUAAAACAUGCAAGUCUAACGGGCGUCUUCGGACGUCAGUGGCGAACGGCUGAGUAACACGUAAGUGACCUGCCCUGGAGUGGGGAAUAACUGCUCGAAAGAGUGGCUAAUACCGCAUAUGAUCCCUGGUUCGUUCCAGGGAUUAAAGCCGUAAGGCGCUUUAGGAGGGGCUUGCGUCCGAUUAGCUAGUUGGUGUGGUAAAGGCGCACCAAGGCGAUGAUCGGUAGCUGGUCUGAGAGGAUGAUCAGCCAGACUGGGACUGCGACACGGCCCAGACUCCUACGGGAGGCAGCAGUUAGGAAUUUUGCGCAAUGGCCGAAAGGCUGACGCAGCAACGCCGCGUGAGGGAUGAAGGUCUUCGGAUCGUAAACCUCUUUUGCACGGGAAGAUGAUGACGGUACCGUGCGAAUAAGCCCCGGCUAACUACGUGCCAGCAGCCGCGGUAAUACGUAGGGGGCGAGCGUUGUCCGGAUUUAUUGGGCGUAAAGAGCGCGUAGGCGGCUUGCCAAGUCUUGCGUUAAAUACCUCGGCUCAACCGAGGGGGGUCGUGGGAUACUGGUAGGCUAGAGGCCGGUAGGGGGAAGUGGAAUUCCCGGUGUAGUGGUGGAAUGCGUAGAUAUCGGGAGGAACACCAGUGGCGAAGGCGGCUUCCUGGACCGGUCCUGACGCUGAGGCGCGAAAGCGUGGGGAGCGAACUGAAUUAGAUACUCAGGUAGUCCACGCUGUAAACGAUGGGUGCUAGGUGUCGGGGGUAUCGACCCCCCCGGUGCCGAAGUUAACGCAUUAAGCACCCCGCCUGGGGAGUACGGCCGCAAGGCUA